GAACGCCGUAUGAGGUGAAAGUCUCACGUACGGUGUGGAGCGGGGGAAAACUUGGAGAGUUAUUCAAAGAGUUACCUAUCGCUAU
rnacentral:ncRNA from 1 species